AUAUAUGUUAAUUAACAUAUCAAGGUGUAAUAUAAUGUCAAGCCACAAGUUUAAAACAUGCUAUAACUCACCGGGAAAAUUAAAUUUCAUACUAGAAAAUAAAUAAUCAAAAAUUCUAGAUUUAAUAUCCAAGCAUGUAAUUGAGUUGAAUAAGCAUGACAAGCAUGUAAUAGAGCAAGAAAGUAAAUUAUAACACCCCCUACCUUAAUUUGAGAUGAAAACCUCAAAUCCGUACCGGAAAAAAAAGUGUUUAGAAUCCGCCGAAACUCCUAGGUUUUGUCGGGGACAACCCGAUCUACAUGAAUCCGAAGGAAGCCCCAUGAAAAUCACAACUUGACCUCAAACCCAAACUCAAGAAAUGGUCGGAAAUGAAUUCUAAUAAGGGGGAAUGGUAGAGCACGUCGAGGGGAACAAUAAAUGUAAAGGCCGAAGGAUUUCUACCAAGGAAAUCAAGUGGAGGAAAAGGAGAAAGGGUGGCAGCCAAGGAGCUUCCAUGGCUGCCGGCCAAGAGCUGGAGAAGAUGAGUGAAAAUCUGAUUUUUCACUUUAAGUCAUCCUAUUUAUAGAAAUCUCAAAAACUGCCCCGAAAGGACCCCGCCGGGUCCGGAAAAGUGGAUUUUGAGCAAACAUGUUCAAACGGCAAAAAUACGUGAACAAAAAGAUUCAAAAUACGAAAAUAUGAACAAUGGAAGAAACGACGUCAAAAACUGAGUCCCGAGCAGAAAGUUAUGCCCCGAAUAAGUUCGGCGGCAACCGGGUCCAGAAAUUCUGAAACUGGAGAAAAAUGACCAGAACGGAAUUCUAAGAGUCCACGACUCGAAGAAAUGUGAAAAUGAAUCACGUACGAGGAUCCAGGCUCCAGACGAGACAUUUUGCAAUAACUUUCGUUAAUUGCACAAUGGCCCUUACAAAAAGGGUUAACCUCGAAACUGCCCCAGAAUGAAAAUAUCUUCCAAAAGAUAUUUUCUUAGAUACCCCUGAAAUAAAAUAUUUUCAAAAGAUAUUUACGAAAAACACCCCAAGAAAUGAAAAAGAUUCUGAAGAAUUGUGCAUCCACGCCUCUAUGGACACCGGGAGCAACCAGAGUACUUUCUUGCAAAAGUAAAGAUACAUAUUUCGAGGAAACCACUCAAGAUGAAGGCACGUGAAGUCAAAAACCAAUUCCGAGCAUGAGAAGUGAGGUUGUGCCAACAAUGUGACAAAUGGGGAAAAGACAGAAUAGAGAAAAGGACGAAAGACGCAUAGUGUCCGAAAAGUGAAAAUGCGAAAAUGACUCGGUCCUCAAAGGAAGUUGUCAAUUCACAUGAAAGAGUCUCAGAAACCAAUUCCGAGCACUCAAGAUGACACUAAGCGACACGAAACAGAGCUCAGAAAAGAAAAUUAAACGAAAAAAAUUCAUUUGUAAAAUUUCAAGAAAAAGGAAAGGGAGGCAAAUGACCGGGUCGUUACAUGUCUCCUUCGGACGCCUGGUAUUUCUGAUUGAUUUAUUUUUUAACUUCAACUUCUGAAACCCCAAGAUAUCUAAGUGUCAACACCAUAGAUUUUCUACAGUGAAGAGUUCAAGAGGGGUCUCUUGACCUGUAUUAGUAUGUUGUAGCAAUGUCCACAUUAAUGGUUGUUUGUGUUGACAUGUUCUUUGUCUACGAAGUCUGAAACAAUCCAAUGAAAGUUAGCUAUAAUGAGCUGCUUCAUCAUUUGGAGGGAGAUGGGUGUCACAAGAUAUUUUUGCAUUGGUGUUCUUUGUUUUCUGUAAGGGUCAAAGUUGUGGUCACUGUCGUAAUCGUCAUCGUCGUAGUUGGUUGAUAAAUUAACAUGGUACCAUACAAUCCCCUCAUCCUCUUUUGAAGAAUUGUACUAGUAAUUAUGGAUUGAGUUUUGCAUGCGAAGUAAAGAGUCUUUGAGACCAUCCUUCCUUCCGGCACCUUCUUCUAGGGUUUUUGGAUUAGGGAAGAGUUGAGAAAGCCAGCAGUUAAAGCACAACCUUUUUUUUAUAAUAAUACCAAAUUCCAAAUUGGAAUUAGAAAAGGAAUUUUAAUUUAGGGUAGAUAAAAUUUGUUAAUUAUUGUUAUUAUUAUUGUUAUUGUUAUUAUUUUUUUUAAUGUUUGGGGUUAAAAUAAUACUGUAUACAAAUAAAUAAAGUUUAACAAAACAAUUUAUCUAGCUCCCACAAUUUCUUAUGUUUGAAUCCACAAUAAUACUUUGCAAAAAAAAAAAAAAUUGUAAAUAAUCUUUCCUUGCAACUUAACAAUUAAAAUUCAAACUCUUGAAUCAAUAUCAAAUCUCAAUAUGAUUAGUUGAGAAUUGAAAUUGGAUCCUCUAAGACAAUUAAGGAAACAAAAAUAUAAGGCUUAAAAAUUCAUAUGGAAAAAUUAAUGUUCUUACUAUAUAUACUUCAUCGGUACAGUUUCUCAAAAGAAACAUCCUUUUUUGGAAAGAGGGAGUAUAUAGUAAGAAUUUCCCAAAUGAGACGUCCUUUUGUUAGAGAUUUACCGUUUCCAAAAGAGAUAUUUUUUUUAGAGACAUCCUUUUUGAGUCAGAGGAAGUAUAUGUUAAGAAUUCCCCAAAAGAGACAUCCUUUUUGGGACAAAGAUUUUGAUUAUCCGAACAAAGAGGGAUUGUAAAAAGGCAUUCGUUCGGUUUAAUCCGGCGUAAUGUCCAAGUAUGUCCACAUUUGGUUGAAGAAUUGUACUCGUAAUUAUGGAUUGAGUUUUGCAUGCAAAAGUAGAGAGUUUUUGAGACCAUCCUUCCUUCCUGCACCUUCUUCUAAGGUUUUUGGAUUAGGAAAGAGUUGAGAAAGCCAGCAGUUAAAGCACAACCUUUUUUAUAAUAAUACCAAAUUCCAAAUUGGAAUUGGAAAUGGAAUUUUAAUUUAGGGUAGAUAAAAUUAAUUAAUUAUUGUUAUUGUUAUUAUUUUUUUAAUGUUUGGGGUUAAAAUAAUACUGUAUAUGAAUAAAUAAAGUUUAACAAAAUAAUUUAUCUAGCUCCCACAAUUUCUUAUGUUUGAAUCCACAAUAAUACUUUGCAAAAAAAAUUGUAAAUAAUCUUUCCUUGCAACUUAACAAUUAAAAUUCAAACUCUUGAAUCAAUAUCAAAUCUCAAUAUGUUUAGUUGAGAAUUGAAAUUGGAUCCUCUAAGACAAUUAAGGAAACAAAAAUAUAAGGCUUAAAAAUUCAUAUGGAAAAAUUAAUGUUCUUACUAUAUAUAUAUAUACUUCAUCUUUCCCAAAAGAAACAUCCUUUUUGGGAAAGAGGGAGUAUAAAGUAAGAAUUUCCCAAAUGAGACCCCUUUUUUUUUUUUUUUUUUUGGAGAGUUACAAUUUCCAAAAGAGACAUCUUUUUUAGAGACAUCCUUUUUGGGACAUAGGAAGUAUAUAGUAAGAAUUCUCCAAAAGCGAUAUCUUUUUUUUUUUUUUUUUUGGAGAAUUACAGUUUCUCAAAAGAGCAAAAAGAGACAUCCUUUUUGGGACAGAGAUUUUAAUUAUCCGAACAAAGAGAAACUGUAAAAAAGCAUUCUUUCGGUUUAAUCCGGCGUAAUGUCCAAGUAUGUCCACAUUUGGCGAAAAUUUCCUUUAAACACCAAUUCCCCCGCUCUCUGAAAAAAUAAUUCCCUCUCCAUUAAUCUCACUAAGGCACGAAUCAGAUGUUAGCUCCUAUUCCACAUUUUCCUUUCCCCAUUGUAAACCCUAAACUUCAGCGGCAGAGGACUUCAACUUCUCAUCCCUAAUCCUACACCAUCAUGAAAUUCGAAUAGGCAAAAGAGAGGUUUUCGAUGGGUCUUGUCUUGUAAGAGACACCUCUUCUUCAAACCUAAAAGCAACUCCUGCACGAUCAGAAUGAUGGGCAUAUUUCAUUCUUUCUUCCCAAAAUACCGGUACUUCCGGUCAAGCAGACAGAUACCACCAUCAAGAACUUUGCACAUUUUGUAGCGCUGCUCUCUCCUCAGAUUAUGUGUAGAUUUAUUCAGCGGUUUCACCCUGGCUGGACAGAAAGUGGUGCCCCUUGCUUCGAGUCGCCCUCCCUUAACUGAUUCUGAAAUCACCGUCUAAAAAAGAAAGACUUCUUCGACUUCAUCCCAAAUUAUUCGUAUAGAUCAUGGCUCCGGUGUUUUCAAGGGAUGCUUGGCAUUGUGUAUGGCAUAUGAUCUAGAAUGAUUUGGUACAUGGAUGAGGAUUGGAUUUUGCCCCCAGAAGAUGUGUAGACGUGUGUAGUUUGUGUUGUUGGUAAUUGCAAAUGUUUCAGAAUGUGAUUGAAGGAUCGAUUAUUACCGUCAAGAUAUUGCACGGACAAGGGGGAGCUAAUAUAUAUUCAAAAUCGAUGGUUAUGCUCUUAUUUUGCAAAAGAUGAUUGUUUCUUUUCGAAUUUAGUGAAUUAGUUUUUAUUCCUUGUUGACGUCAUCAUAUUGGAUGGCUGUGAACUUUUUUAAUAUUCAUAGUGGCUUUAAAUUUUAUUUUUUGACACGGUACUAGACUUGAUGUUUUUGGUUUAAUGAAAAGUAAUUGAUUUUUGUUA